GUCUAUAGCCCUACCACCCUGAACCCACCGGAUCUCUUCUGAUCUUGGAAGCUAAGCAGGGUCCGGCCUGGUUAGUACUUGGAUGGGAGGACAAUAAAUAAGAAAUGGUAUUUAUCAUUU
rnacentral:rRNA from 1 species